UGCUCCCUUCCCCCUCGCCGCCGACCGAGUUCUUCCUUUUCAGACCCAGUCGUCUUGUUGUUGUCACGGAGAUUUUCCUGCUACUGCUGCUGUCGCUGCCACUACCACUGGGGUCAUUUGCCCCGACCCCUUCCCGCCGCCCCGCCCCCAGCCCCACACAAGAUAUCAGAGGAUUUAGCAAAACAGCUGGCAAGCUACAAAACUCAGCUCCAGCAAGUUGAAGCUGCAUUAUCUGGAAAUGGAGAAAAUGAAGAUUUGCUAAAAUUGAAGAAAGAUUUACAAGAAGUUAUAGAACUAACCAAAGACCUUCUGUCAACUCAACCUUCUGAGACGCUUGCAAGUUCAGACGGUUUUGCUUCUACUCAACCUACUCAUUCAUGGAAAGUAGGAGACAAGUGUAUGGCAAUCUGGAGUGAAGAUGGACAGUGUUAUGAAGCGGAGAUUGAAGAGAUAGAUGAAGAAAAUGGCACCGCUGCAAUCACCUUUGCUGGUUAUGGCAAUGCUGAAGUGACUCCACCGUUGAACCUCAAGCCUGUAGAAUAAGGAAGGAAGGCAAAGGAGGACAGUGGCAACAAACCCAUGUCAAAAAAAGAAAUGAUUGCCCAGCAGUGUGAA